rnacentral:lncRNA from 1 species
GCACGAGGAAAGGUACCGCUAAGAGCAGAGGCGGUGUCACCGACCAAGACCUGCAGGGCACCAGUGCACGCGAACGCAGGCCCUCACACAGGCCGGGAACAGUUAGAACCCCAACCUGCAUCUCAGGCAGGAGACCGACCCCCAGAAAGCAGUGGCUGCAGAGCCAGGGCUAGCGUCAGGCCUCCCAGCAGCACCCCAUGGAUGUAAAUGACACGGGCACGCGCACCUGCAUUCACACGACGAUGAUCACAAAAGUGUCUCUCAUUAACUGCGGGUGCUGCGCCAGGCUCUCUUCUAAUUGCUUUCCAUGAAUCACCUCUUUCAGUCCGCACGAUGGCCCAGGGCGCAGGUCCUUUUGUUGGCCCCAUUUUACAAGCAAGUGGCCCAGCAGUCGUGCGGCGCCAGCACACACAGACAGAGACACAGGGAUGUGUGAGGCCGCGUGACUCCCUGCCCUCGCUGCGCCAGUCCCUGCCCUGUCUGCUGCAGUUAUGUUCGGCCAGGACGCCCAGCACCCCCGUCCAUCCCUGUGGACGUUUCCUAGCCCUGGACAGAGGAUUCACCCCUUCCUUCUCUGGGGUUCACACACAAGCUUCCAUUGUCUUCUACUAAACUACAGUAAAUGCUACACUACUUCAGGGCAGGACUGGUGCCUGACUCAUGUUUGUUCACUCCAGGCACAUGGCAAACCUAGCAAAACGCUGGUAGCUGAACUAAUGAACUAAUACCGCUCCGCCCACCCAGCCCCAUUCCCACACCAGAGACAGCCUCCCAGCCGCUGUGUUCUGUGGCCCGUGUAGGGACUUGGAGUCUCAGGGCCCUGACUCAGAAGGGCAGGAAGUGGCCUGAGUCCGCUGCCUUUGAAUUGCUUUCCACCCUGGCUGGCACUUUCCUGCCCUGGAGUGGUGCCGACGACCCCGGGCCUCACUCAGCAUUCACACCGGCCCCUCUGGCCAACACUGACCUGCCCACACCGUGGACUCUGGGACACCCUUUGUGUCCCUGCAUGUCUGGGGCUCUGAGGUUUCACCUGGGAACCCCUGGCAAGGCUGGUCCCUGUCCCCGUGUCCUGCCUCCUGGAUGACCAGGGCCUCCUUGCCCCUUGUGGCUUGUCACCAGCCUGCGUUCUGUCAGGCAGCAGUACACAGCCCCCCUCUCUGGGGACCCCCCCCUCCAUCUUGCCCACCUCACAGAC